CUGUUGGGGCACAAGGCUGCGGGCUCGUCCCCGCCUUUCGAGUCGGCCGGGACCCUUGUCCGGCGGGCGGGCACACUGAGGGAAAAGCCGCUGAGGCCGAGAAAGCCCUUGCAGAGAAGUUGACCCCCGGCCGCAGUUCACGCCACAGCUAGGAUUGGGGCAGGAGUAAGCUGCCCACCCCAGCGCUUUCAGAGCUGCAGUGUCCAAGAGAUAGUUCUCAGGCAGCUGCUAGAGGGUGAUGCCAGCUAAGCGCCCUGAAAAAGAGAAUAUGAUUGGGCAUGAGAGCACAAACAGACCAGAGUGGAUGCUAGCAGUUGGAAGUUAGCGGCAAGAAGUGAGAAGGCUGCCUGGUGCCCAGGAAAGGGGGGCUGGUUCCAGACAUAAGGGGC